AUUGAACGCUGGCGGCAGGCCUAACACAUGCAAGUCGAGCGGAUGAAGGGAGCUUGCUCCUGGAUUCAGCGGCGGACGGGUGAGUAAUGCCUAGGAAUCUGCCUGGUAGUGGGGGAUAACGUCCGGAAACGGGCGCUAAUACCGCAUACGUCCUGAGGGAGAAAGUGGGGGAUCUUCGGACCUCACGCUAUCAGAUGAGCCUAGGUCGGAUUAGCUAGUUGGUGGGGUAAAGGCCUACCAAGGCGACGAUCCGUAACUGGUCUGAGAGGAUGAUCAGUCACACUGGAACUGCGACACGGUCCAGACUCCUACGGGAGGCAGCAGUGGGGAAUAUUGGACAAUGGGCGAAAGCCUGAUCCAGCCAUGCCGCGUGUGUGAAGAAGGUCUUCGGAUUGUAAAGCACUUUAAGUUGGGAGGAAGGGCAGUAAGUCAAUACCUUGCUGUUUUGACGGUACCAACAGAAUAAGCACCGGCUAACUUCGUG
rnacentral:rRNA from 1 species